rnacentral:rRNA from 1 species
AACGAACGCUGGCGGCAGGCCUAACACAUGCAAGUCGAGCGGACCCUUCGGGGUUAUCGGCGGACGGGUUAGUAACGCGUGGGAACGUGCCCUUUGCUUCGGAAUAUCCCUGUGAAACUGGGAGUAAUACCGGAUACGCCCUUUUGGGGAAAGUUUUAUCGGCUAAGGAUCGGCCCGCGUUGGAUUAGGUAGUUUGUGGGGUAAUGGCCUACCAAGCGGAAGAUCCAUAGCUGGUUUGAGAGGAUGAUCAGCCACACUGGGACUGAGACAAGGCCCAGACUGCUAGGGGAGGAAGAAGUGGGGAAUGUUAGACAAUGGGGGAAACACUGAGCUAGCCAUGCCGCGUGAGCGAUGAAGGCCUUAGGGUUGUAAAGCUCUUUAACAGGGGAAGAUAAUGACGGUACCCGGAGAAGAAGCCACGGCUAACUCCGUG